CCUACGGGAGGCAGCAGUGAGGAAUAUUGGUCAAUGGGCGAGAGCCUGAACCAGCCAAGUCGCGUGAAGGAUGAAGGAUCUAUGGUUUGUAAACUUCUUUUAUAUGGGAAUAAAGUGAGGAACGUGUUCCUUUUUGUAUGUACCAUAUGAAUAAGCAUCGGCUAACUCCGUGCCAGCAGCCGCGGUCAUACGGAGGAUGCGAGCGUUAUCCGGAUUUAUUGGGUUUAAAGGGUGCGUAGGUGGUUAAUUAAGUCAGCGGUGAAAGUUUGUGGCUCAACCGUAAAAUUGCAGUUGAAACUGGUUGACUAGAGUAUAGUUGAGGUAGGCGGAAUGCGUGGUGUAGCGGUGAAAUGCAUAGAUAUCACGCAGAACUCCGAUGGCGAAGGCAGCUUACGAACCGAUAACUGACACUGAAGAACGAAAGCGUGGGGAUCAAACAGGAUUAGAGACCCCGGUAGGC
rnacentral:rRNA from 1 species